GAGUAAAGAUUUCGGUCGCUUUGGGAGGAGCUCGCUUACUAUCAGCUUGUUGGUAGGGUAAUGGCCUACCAAGGCUAUGACGGUUAGGGGGUGUGAGAGCAUGACCCCCAGCAUUGGCACUGAAACACUGGCCAAACACCUACGGGUGGCUGCGGUCGAGAAUCUUCCACAAUGGGGGAAACCCUGAUGGAGCGAUGCUGCGUGCGGGAUGAAGGCCUUCGGGUUGUAAACCGCUUUUGUAGGGGACGAAAUUUUUGACGGUACCCUUUCGAAUAAGAGGUUGCUAACUCUGUGCCAGCAGCAGCGGUAAUACAGAGACCUCAAGCGUUAUCCGGAUUUACUGGGCGUAAAGCGUCUGUAGGGGGUUUAUUAAGUUCCAAGUAAAAUUUCAAGGCUCAACUUUGAAUUCGCUUGGAAAACUAAUAAACUGGAGUCUAGCAGAGGUGCAUGGAACUUGUGGUGUAGGAGUGAAAUCCGUUGAUAUCACAAGGAACACCAAAGGCGAAGGCAUUGCACUGGGCUAGCACUGACCCUGAGAGACGAAAGCGUGGGGAGCAAAACGGAUUAGAUACCCGUGUAGUCCACGCCCUAAACGAUGAAUGCUAAAUGUUCGGGGAUUCGACCCCCUGGGUGUUACAGCUAACGCGUUAAGCAUUCCGCCUGGGAAGUACGGCUGCAAGGCUAAAACUCAAAGGAAUAGACGGGGAUCCGCACAAGCGGUGGAGCGUCUGGUUUAAUUCGACAGUAAGCGUGGUACCUCACCAGGGUUUGACAUCCCUUGACAGCCUUGGAAACAAGGUUUCCUUCGGGCAAGGUGACAGGUGCUGCAUGGUCGUCGUCAGUUCGUGCCGUGAGGUGUUCCGUUAAGUCGGGAAACGAACGAAACCCCUAUUGCAUGUUACAAUUUCUCAUGCAAGACUGCCCGGAUAUACUGGGAGGAAGGUGGGGAUGACGUCAGAUCUGCAUGGUCCUUAUACCCUGGGCGACACAGGCGCUACAAUGGCAGAGACAAAGGGUUGCAAAACCGCAAGGUGAAGCUAAUCCCAAAAACUUUGUCUAAGUUCGGAUUGAAGGCUGCAAUUCGCCUUCAUGAAGCUGGAAUCGCUAGUAAUCGUGAAUCAGCCACGUCACGGUGAAUAUGUUCCCGGAUCUUGUACUCACCGCCCGUCACACCAAGAGAGUUGGUAGCUCCCGA
rnacentral:rRNA from 1 species